UGGGGAAUUUUGGACAAUGGGCGCAAGCCCGAUCCAGCCAUGCCGCGUGCGGGAAGAAGGCCUUCGGGUUGUAAACCGCUUUUGUCAGGGAAGAAAUCUUCUGAGUUAAUACCUCGGGAGGAUGACGGUACCUGAAGAAUAAGCACCGGCUAACUACGUGCCAGCAGCCGCGGUAAUACGUAGGGUGCAAGCGUUAAUCGGAAUUACUGGGCGUAAAGCGUGCGCAGGCGGUUUUGUAAGACAGAGGUGAAAUCCCCGGGCUCAACCUGGGAACUGCCUUUGUGACUGCAAGGCUUGAGUGCGGCAGAGGGGGAUGGAAUUCCGCGUGUAGCAGUGAAAUGCGUAGAUAUGCGGAGGAACACCGAUGGCGAAGGCAAUCCCCUGGGCCUGCACUGACGCUCAUGCACGAAAAGCGUGGGGAGCAAAACAGGAUUAGAUACCCUGGUAGUCCACGCCCUAAACGAUGUCAACUGGUUGUUGGGAAGGUUCCUUCUCAGUAACGUAGCUAACGCGUGAAGUUGACCGCCUGGGGAGUACGGCCGCAAGGUUGAAAACUCAAAUGAAUUGACGGGGUCAUAGCUGUUUCC
rnacentral:rRNA from 1 species